rnacentral:rRNA from 1 species
UACGGGGGGGGGGUAAGCGUUGUUCGGAAUUACUGGGCGUAAAGGGCUCGUAGGCGGCCAACUAAGUCAGACGUGAAAUCCCUCGGCUUAACCGGGGGAAUGGCGUCUGAUACUGGAUGGCUUGAAUCCGGGAGAGGGAUGCGGAAUUCCAGGUGUAGCGGUGAAAUGCGUAGAUAUCUGGAGGAACACCGGUGGCGAAGGCGGCAUCCUGGACCGGCAUUGACGCUGAGGAGCGAAAGCCAGGGGAGCAAAGCGGG